GUCGGACAUCAGGAGGUUAGUGCAAUGGCAUAAGCCAGCUUGACUGCGAGCGUGACGGCGCGAGCAGGUGCGAAAGCAGGUCAUAGUGAUCCGGUGGUUCUGAAUGGAAGGGCCAUCGCUCAACGGAUAAAAGGUACUCCGGGGAUAACAGGCUGAUACCGCCCAAGAGUUCAUAUCGACGGCGGUGUUUGGCACCUCGAUGUCGGCUCAUCACAUCCUGGGGCUGAAGUAGGUCCCAAGGGUAUGGCUGUUCGCCAUUUAAAGUGGUACGCGAGCUGGGUUUAGAACGUCGUGAGACAGUUCGGUCCCUAUCUGCCGUGGGCGCUGGAGAACUGAGGGGGGCUGCUCCUAGUACGAGAGGACCGGAGUGGACGCAUCACUGGUGUUCGGGUUGUCAUGCCAAUGGCACUGCCCGGUAGCUAAAUGCGGAAGAGAUAAGUGCUGAAAGCAUCUAAGCACGAAACUUGCCCCGA
rnacentral:rRNA from 1 species